UACGGAGGGUGCGAGCGUUGUCCGGAUUUAUUGGGUUUAAAGGGUGCGUAGGUGGGUUAAUAAGUCAGUGGUGAAAUACGGUUGCUCAACAAUCGAGGUGCCAUUGAUACUGUUAAUCUUGAAACAAGUGGAGGUUGCCGGAAUGGAUGGUGUAGCGGUGAAAUGCAUAGAUAUCAUCCAGAACACCGAUUGCGAAGGCAGGUGACUACGUUUGAUUUGACACUGAGGCACGAAAGCAUGGGGAGCAAACAGG
rnacentral:rRNA from 1 species